CAAGGAGUAGUUUAAUAAAUAAUAUUAAUUUUGGGAAUUAAUGAUAAAGAUAAUUCUUUCUCUUUGA
rnacentral:tRNA from 1 species